rnacentral:lncRNA from 1 species
GGCCCGCACCGCUGCUCCCUCCCCCUGGCUCGUUCCGUCGCGGGGUGCGACGCCCCCCGGAGCCCCCCGCAGCCCGCGCGCGCCCCCCGCGGCGGGAGACCCGCGGGCUCGGAUGCUCAGCCCCCCCCCCCCCGCGCUCACCUAGCGCCCGCCGGCUCGCCGCGCUGGGUGGGCUCCCCCAGACGGUGCCUUUUCCUUCUGUCGCUCUGCUCUUCCCACUCGGAGAGCUCGGGGAAGCAUCGCGGGCCCGCACCCCCUGCAGGAGGGCCUCUCCCGCAGUCAGCGGCCAAGCUCGGCGCGGACCCCGGCUUCCCCCCGCACGGCCCGAGCUGGAGGUGCUCGCGCGUCCGCGUCUGCAGCCCGAAGCCGGCGUGCCGCGCGCCCCCAGCUCCCCAGGCGCAGGGCUGCAGCCGCUCUUCCGCUUUCCCAGGGCAACUCUGCAAGUGCCAACUCUCGGCGUCCGGAGGGAAUCUCUAAGCAUACAGUAACAGAGGUAUCUUCAAAGGAAAAAUUUAACAGAUUGUAUAACAUAAAAAUUAAGAACUUUGGCAAUUAGGGAAAACAAAGAGCAAAUAACAAACUGAGCAAUGGAGUUUUAGUUGUAAUGAAUGCUUUAUAUUUUAGGGCACUCCCAGCUCACUCAGAGAGAAGGUCCCAGUCCACAUAACCUAGCAGUUCCAUGGCCUCAUUUCCCCCCUGCCAACCCCCUUGACUCACAGCCACAUGAACUCCUUCCUGUCCUUCAACUCACCCCGCAUGCUUCUACCUCAAUGCCUUAGUCCUUGUUACACUUUCCUCUGGGCUUCCUUUUUCUCCACUUACCUAUAAGCCUUUACUUCUUUCCUAUUGCUGCUGUAACAAAUUACCAUAAGUUUAGUGGCUUAAAACGAAUCUAAAUUUAUUAUCUUCCACUUCUGGAGGUCAGAAAUCUUAAAAUCCAGUUGCCAGCAGGGCUGCAUUCCCUUUUGGACACUCUAGGGAGAAUCUGUUUGUAUGUCAUUUUCAACUUCUAGGAGCUGCCUGCAUUCUUCGGUACAUGGCCCCUUCCUCCAUCUUCUAGCCAAGAGCACAGCAUCUUCAAAUCUCCCUUACUUUACUUCCCCCAUGUUGUAUCUCCUUCUCUGGUUGACCCUCUUACCACCCUCUUAUAAAGAGCCUCAGGCCUUGUAACAAUCCCUUACAUUGGGCCUAACCUUCCCAUCUUAAUAUCAUUAACUUAAUCACAUCUGCAAGGUCCCUUCACUUGUAAGGUAACAUAUGUACAGGUUUCAAAGAUUCAGACAUAGAAAUCUUUGGAGGGGGGCAUUAUUCUGUCUACAAAAUUUCCUUCUGAUCUUUCCUCAAAUGUUACUUUAUCAGAAAGACUAUGCUGCACCUAAAUAAAACAGAACGAGCCUCUCUUCCA